AGACCCGAAACCCGGUGAUCUAGCCAUGGGCAGGUUGAAGGUUGGGUAACACUAACUGGAGGACCGAACCGACUAAUGUUGAAAAAUUAGCGGAUGACCUGUGGCUGGGGGUGAAAGGCCAAUCAAACCGGGAGAUAGCUGGUUCUCCCCGAAAGCUAUUUAGGUAGCGCCUCGUGAAUUCAUCUCCGGGGGUAGAGCACUGUUUCGGCUAGGGGGCCAUCCCGGCUUACCAACCCGAUGCAAACUGCGAAUACCGGAGAAUGUUAUCACGGGAGACACACGGCGGGUGCUAACGUCCGUCGUGAAGAGGGAAACAACCCAGACCGCCAGCUAAGGUCCCAAAGUCAUGGUUAAGUGGGAAACGAUGUGGGAAGGCCCAGACAGCCAGGAUGUUGGCUUAGAAGCAGCCAUCAUUUAAAGAAAGCGUAAUAGCUCACUGGUCGAGUCGGCCUGCGCGGAAGAUGUAACGGGGCUAAACCAUGCACCGAAGCUGCGGCAGCGAACGUAUCACUUAAAGCGAUUCAGCGGGUUACGAUUGACGGAGCGAAGCGACGUCAAAGCGUAUACAAAGUCGAGUCGGUUUAAGGAUACGUUCGUUGGGUAGGGGAGCGUUCUGUAAGCCUGCGAAGGUGGCCUGUGAGGGUUGCUGGAGGUAUCAGAAGUGCGAAUGCUGACAUAAGUAACGAUAAAGCGGGUGAAAAGCCCGCUCGCCGGAAGACCAAGGGUUCCUGUCCAACGUUAAUCGGGGCAGGGUGAGUCGACCCCUAAGGCGAGGCCGAAAGGCGUAGUCGAUGGGAAACGGGUUAAUAUUCCCGUACUUGGUGUUACUGCGAAGGGGGGACGGAGAAGGCUAUGUUGGCCGGGCGACGGUUGUCCCGGUUUAAGCGUGUAGGUGUGUGUUCCAGGUAAAUC
rnacentral:rRNA from 1 species